rnacentral:rRNA from 1 species
AUUGAACGCUGGCGGCAGGCUUAACACAUGCAAGUCGAGCGGAGUGAUGGUGCUUGCACUAUCACUUAGCGGCGGACGGGUGAGUAAUGCUUAGGAAUCUGCCUAUUAGUGGGGGACAACAUCUCGGAAGGGAUGCUAAUACCGCAUACGUCCUACGGGAGAAAGCAGGGGAUCACUUGUGACCUUGCGCUAAUAGAUGAGCCUAAGUCGGAUUAGCUAGUUGGUGGGGUAAAGGCCUACCAAGGCGACGAUCUGUAGCGGGUCUGAGAGGAUGAUACGCCACACUGGGACUGAGACACGACCCAGAGUCCUACGGGAGGCAGCAGUGGGUAAUAUUGGACAAUGGGGGGAACCCUGAUCCAGCCAUGCCGCGUGUGUGAAGAAGGCCUUAUGGUUGUAAAGCACUUUAAGCGAGGAGGAGGCUCUUUUGGUUAAUACCCAAGAUGAGUGGACGUUACUCGCAGAAUAAGCACCGGCUAACUCUGUGCCAGCCGCCGCUGUAAUAC